UAACGUAGUGAAAGUUACGCUAAUACCGCAUAUUCUGUGAGCAGGAAAGAGGGGAUCGCAAGACCUCUUGCUUUAGGAGCGGCCGAUGUCGGAUUAGCUAGUUGGUGAGGUAAAGGCUCACCAAGGCGACGAUCCGUAGCGGGUCUGAGAGGAUGAUCCGCCACACUGGGACUGAGACACGGCCCAGACUCCUACGGGAGGCAGCAGGUGGGAAUUUGGACAAUGGGCGCAAGCCUGAUCCAGCCAUGCCGCGUGAGUGAAGAAGGCCUUCGGGUUGUAAAGCUUCUUUCGGUGGGGAAGAAAUUGCUUCGGUUAAUACCUGGAGUAGAUGACGGUACCCGCAUAAGAAGCACCGGCUAACUACGUG
rnacentral:rRNA from 1 species